rnacentral:rRNA from 1 species
GACGAACCGUGCGAACGUUGUUCGGAAUCACUGGGCUUAAAGGGCGCGUAGGCGGUCGGCCACGUCUGGGGUGAAAGCCCCCGGCUUAACCGGGGAAUCGCCCCCGAUACGGGCCGUCUCGAGGGGGGUAGGGGCGCGCGGAACUUCCGGUGGAGCGGUGAAAUGUGUUGAGAUCGGAAGGAACGCCGGCGGCGAAAGCGGCGCGCUGGGCCCACCCUGACGCUGAGGCGCGAAAGCCAGGGGAGCGAACGGG